rnacentral:rRNA from 1 species
GAUGAACGCUGGCGGCGUGCCUAAUACAUGCAAGUCGAGCGAACAGAUGAGGAGCUUGCUCCUCUGACGUUAGCGGCGGACGGGUGAGUAACACGUGGAUAACCUACCUAUAAGACUGGGAUAACUACGGGAAACCGGAGCUAAUACCGGAUAAUAUAUUGAACCGCAUGGUUCAAUAGUGAAAGACGGUUUUGCCGUCACUUAUAGAUGGAUCCGCGCCGCAUUAGUUAGUUGGUAAGGUAACGGCUUACCAAGGCAACGUUGCGUAGCCGACCUGAGAGGAUGAUCGGCCACACUGGAACUGAGACACGGUCCAGACUCCUACGGGAGGCAGCAGUAGGGAAUAUUCCGCAAUGGGCGAAAGCCUGACGGAGCAACACCGCGUGAGUGAUGAAGGUCUUCGGAUCGUAAAACUCUGUUAUUAGGGAAGAACAAAUGUGUAAGUAACUAUGCACGUCUUGACGGUACCUAAUCAGAAAGCCACGGCUAACUACGUG